GAUGCGAUGAUGAGGUGAAGGCACUCACAGAGGGUGUCGAUGGGGGCAGUGAAUCACACUCCGUGGGCCCAUUUCUUUCAAUAAACGACUUCUCCUUCCACUGAGCAAA